UAAAGCACUUUCAGUCGUGAGGAAGGCGGGUACGUUAAUAGCGUAUUCGUUUGUACGUUAGCGACAGAAGAAAGCACCGGCUAACUCCGUGCCAGCAGCCGCGGUAAGUACGGAGGGUGCGAGCGUUAAUCGGAAUUACUGGGCGUAAAGCGCAUGCAGGUGGUUUGUUUAAGUCAGAUGUGAAAGACCCGGGGCGUCAACCUCGGAAUAGCAUUUGUAAACUAGGCAGACUAGAGUACUGUAGAGGGGGGUAGGAAUUUCAGGUGUAGCGGUGAAAUGCGUAGAGAUCUGAAGGAAUACCGGUGGCGAAGGCGGCCCCCUCGGACAGAUACUGACACUCAGAUGCGAAAGCGUCGGGGAGCAAACAGGAUUAGACUACCCUGGUAG
rnacentral:rRNA from 1 species